CGAACGCUGGCGGCGUGCUUAACACAUGCAAGUCGAACGGAAAGGCCCUGCUUUUGUGGGGUGCUCGAGUGGCGAACGGGUGAGUAACACGUGAGUAACCUGCCCUUGACUUUGGGAUAACUUCAGUAAACUGGGGCUAAUACCGGAUAGGAGCUCCUGCUGCAUGGUGGGGGUUGGAAAGUUUCGGCGGUUGGGGAUGGACUCGCGGCUUAUCAGCUUGUUGGUGGGGUAGUGGCUUACCAAGGCUUUGACGGGUAGCCGGCCUGAGAGGGUGACCGGCCACAUUGGGACUGAGAUACGGCCCAGACUCCUACGGGAGGCAGCAGUGGGGAAUAUUGCACAAUGGGCGGAAGCCUGAUGCAGCAACGCCGCGUGCGGGAUGACGGCCUUCGGGUUGUAAACCGCUUUCGACUGUGACGAAGCGUGAGUGACGGUAAUGGGUAAAGAAGCACCGGCUAACUACGUG
rnacentral:rRNA from 1 species